AGCCUGAUGCAGCAACGCCGCGUGAGGGACGACGGCCUUCGGGUUGUAAACCUCUUUUAGCAAGGAAGAAGCGAAAGUGACGGUACUUGCAGAAAAAGCGCCGGCUAACUACGUGCCAGCAGCCGCGGUAAUACGUAGGGCGCAAGCGUUAUCCGGAAUUAUUGGGCGUAAAGAGCUCGUAGGCGGUUUGUCGCGUCUGCUGUGAAAACCCGAGGCUCAACCUCGGGCCUGCAGUGGGUACGGGCAGACUAGAGUGCGGUAGGGGAGAUUGGAAUUCCUGGUGUAGCGGUGGAAUGCGCAGAUAUCAGGAGGAACACCGAUGGCGAAGGCAGAUCUCUGGGCCGUAACUGACGCUGAGGAGCGAAAGGGUGGGGAGCAAACAGGCUUAGAUACCCUGGUAGUCCACCCCGUAAACGUUGGGAACUAGUUGUGGGGUCCAUUCCACGGAUUCCGUGACGCAGCUAACGCAUUAAGUUCCCCGCCUGGGGAGUACGGCCGCAAGGCUAAAACUCAAAGGAAUUGACGGGGACCCGCACAAGCGGCGGAGCAUGCGGAUUAAUUCGAUGCAACGCGAAGAACCUUACCAAGGCUUGACAUAUACGAGAACGCUGCAGAAAUGUAGAACUCUUUGGAC
rnacentral:rRNA from 1 species